rnacentral:rRNA from 1 species
UACAGAGACUGCAAGCGUUAUUCGGAUUCACUGGGCGUAAAGGGUGCGCAAGCGGCCGUGUGUGUGAGGCGUGAAAGCCCGGGGCUUAACCCCGGAAUUGCACCUCAAACUACAUGGCUAGAGCAUUGGAGAGGGUAGCGGAAUUCACGGUGUAGCAGUGAAAUGCGUAGAUAUCGUGAGGAACACCAGAGGCGAAGGCGGCUACCUGGACAAUUGCUGACGCUCAGGCACGAAAGCGUGGGGAGCAAACGGG